CUACGUGCCAGCAGCCGCGGUAAUACGGAAGGUCCAGGCGUUAUCCGGAUUUAUUGGGUUUAAAGGGAGCGUAGGCGGACGAUUAAGUCAGCCGUGAAAGUUUGCGGCUCAACCGUAAAAUUGCAGUUGAAACUGGUUGUCUUGAGUGCACGCAGGGACGUUGGAAUUCAUGGUGUAGCGGUGAAAUGCUUAGAUACCAUGAAGAACUCCGAUCGCGAAGGCAUAUGUCCGGAGUGCAACUGACGCUGAGGCUCGAAAGUGCGGGUAUCGAACAGGAUUAGAUACCCUGGUAGUCCGCACAGUAAACGAUGAAUACUCGCAGUAUGCGAUAUAAUGUAUGCUGCCAAGUGAAAACGUUAAGUAUUCCACCUGGGGAGUACGCCGGCAACGGUGAAACUCAAAGGAAUUGACGGGGGCCCGCACAAGCGGAGGAACAUGUGGUUUAAUUCGAUGAUACGCGAGGAACCUUACCCGGGCUUGAAUUGCAGAGGAAUUAUUUAGAGAUA
rnacentral:rRNA from 1 species